rnacentral:sRNA from 2 species
UGGACUUUGUGCAGCGGGAGAGUGGAGUGGGGGAUCGGGUGGGCGGCUGUUUCCCCCUGUGGCUGUGUCCGCUGCGGCUGCGGAGGAGGGGCCGGGGUGCAACAAACUUUGGCUCGAUGCAUCCUAGAUGGGUGCAUUCGCAAGCUUCGCACCCACCCCCGUCCCCAUCGUUGUCGGACGAGGCACCACAACCCGAUGAUAUGCUUCUCAAUGUCGGCCUCUGGUGUCCGGGCCCCCCAACGGCGGACGCCUUCGUCAACGUCAAUCGCGCAAUCGAACAGAAGGUGAGCGCGCUACGGGGGACCAAAUGGCUCUAUGCCCAUACGUAUUACACGGAGGAGGAAUUUUGGGACAUCUAUGAUCGGCAGUGGUAUGAGGGGCUGCGCGAGAAGUACGGGGCU